rnacentral:rRNA from 1 species
GACGAACGCUGGCGGCGUGCUUAACACAUGCAAGUCGAACGGAAAGGCCCAGCUUGCUGGGUGCUCGAGUGGCGAACGGGUGAGUAACACGUGGGUGAUCUGCCCCUAUCUUCUGGAUAAGCUUUGGAAACUCGGUCUAAUACCGGAUAGGACAAUCGUUUAGUGUCGGUUGUGGAAAGUUUUUUCGGUUAGGGAUGAGCCCGCGGCCUAUCAGCUUGUUGGUGGGGUAAUGGCCUACCAAGGCAUCGACGGGUAGCCGGCCUGAGAGGGUGGACGGCCACAUUGGGACUGAGAUACGGCCCAGACUCCUACGGGAGGCAGCAGUGGGGAAUAUUGCACAAUGGGCGCAAGCCUGAUGCAGCGACGCCGCGUGGGGGAUGACGGCCUUCGGGUUGUAAACCUCUUUCGACAGGGACGAAGCUUUGGUGACGGUACCUGUAUAAGAAGCACCGGCUAACUACGUG